UUUCCCAUUUUAUUUGCUGCCAUAUACUUUUAAUGGUAUGAGCAGUUAUACGCGUGGGAUAAACUAAUGUGUCUUCUGCUUGUUUCUGCAAAUACUUGUUGUUUUGCUGCUGAAGCAGAGUCCCAACAUGA